ACCUCAGUGGUGUAGUGGUAACAUUAUUCCUUCCCAAGGAAUAGCACUGGGUUCGAUUCCCAGCUGUGGUA